UGACCUGGAGCCAGUGACCUGACCCUUUUGAAUCUCUGUUUCUGUGUUUAUAAAAUGGUGACAGGAAGAUUGUUCAGAGGAUGAAAUGAGAAAAUGCACAUAGAGUAACUCAUGCUCAAAAUGAAAAAAGGUAAAUUCCCUUAUCUAUUGAGAUCGAUCAACUGUUUUCUGUAUCUCAGAGAAUCAACCAUCAACUGCACACAAAUAAAAAAGCUCUGGGCACCGUAUCAAGCCAAGAACAGCCCAAUCUCCUUUCUGGGCAAACGUUCCAAGUAUAACAUCUGUCAGGUACUGACUGUGAAUUCUACAUCUUGUACUGAGUCGCCCCUCUCUUCUAUGGAACAUUAGAAAGCAAGAGGAACUACCAUUUGUGAUAGACGAAGACAGAUUUGCAGGUGGAGGGAGUGACAAGACCUGAUUUGUUUUCUGCACAUAAUGAGUAAUCCUUCAGACACAGAGAUCCUCAUCUGCAGCACGAGAGAAAAGGUAAACCAAGUCCCCAGGCUCAGCACCCAUGGAAAGGAGCAGAGGGAGAGAGUCCUCUGAGUUGGCACACGAGUUCUGCACCGGGCUGUCCUUUGAUAUGACAGCUCUCUUCUGUGGUGGGGCCACCUAAGAAGUGCUUGGGAAAAUAUCUUGAUAGGAGAACUAGACGGAAACAUGCUUUCAGAGAAGGGAUGUGUCUUGUUGCUUAUUGUGGUUUUUCAAUACAUGAGCCUAGUUUACAUAGCAGGGGCCCAAAUGCAGCUCUGUAUAAUAUUGUCAUACUUCAGCUAUGUGCGUGUUUAUCAUUUCUUUACCAACAACAGCUGGAGAAAAUGGCUGAGAUUGGAGAGGAGGGAGCAGAGGUAGAGAGGAAGUCAAAACCUUGGAAUGGAUGACAUACCACUUCCCCAAUGAAUGAAGCUGCAGAUUCAGCCACAUGUAGUUGAUGUCGCCAUGUCAAGACUGCAUUUUUCCUUCCAAACACAGAAGUAUGGGGUAAACUUAAUGCAGGACUAUGAAGAUGAAGCCAUUGAGGCCCAAGACUUUAUCUUGAUUUCUUCAAUUCCUUGGAUAUGUUUACUCCCUCCCCACACUGGGCCCUUGUAGCUGCUUAGACUGAACCUACUGGCCCUUCUCUUGCUGGAAAGUUGCCCUCCAAGAAGUGCAAGAGCUCAGAUUGCACCUGCUAACUGUUAAGACCAGACUUGGCCAGGCUACCAGAUCUUUCUGCAACAAGGCCAGCUUCACACUGCCUGAGCAGACCUUUCUGUUCUGCCAAAGGCAGCUGAAGCAGGGAAAAUGGAUCAGCAAAGGGAUCUGGGCCAGGCGCAGUGGCUCAUUUCUCUAACCUCAGCACUUUGAGAGGCCAAGGUGGGAGGAUCACUUGAGGCCAGGAGUUCAAGACCAGCCUGGGCAACAAAAUGAGACCGCAUUUCUACAAAACAAUAAGGUUAAAAAAAAUUAAUCAGGUGUGGUGGCAACUGUGGUGCCAACUCUUGAGACACUAAAUCGGGAGGAUCACUUGAGCCCAGGAGAUGGAGGCUGGAGUGAGCUAUGAUAGCACCACUGUAUUCCAGCCUGGAAGAUAGAGUGAGACCCUGUCUCAAAAAAAGUAAAUAAAGGAAUCUGAACUUGAAGAAUGGGCCAAAAAAGA
rnacentral:lncRNA from 1 species